ACCAGAUUUGACCCAUAGAGGAUGAGAAUUAGAAUAUUGUACAGAAGGUGGGAAAUCUUAGCUACAGUAGCUGUCUCAGAAAACUUUUUGACCCAAACAAUCAUCAGAAGAAACAAAUGCCUUGAAAGUAGUCCUUGUGGUUUGUACAUGGGCUGCUUGCAGCAGAGUCCGGUAAAGAAGAGUGAUCCCUUGAAAGCUGGAGCCAGUGUUGUUCUCCGACAGGAACAUGAGGCAGCUGAUGCUGGCUGACUGCUGCCAAACAGGUCAGUUGGAGGGUAAACACAGGGAAGAGGCUCACUAUUACAGCUGUAACCGAGCAGAGAAGAAGUGACUGCAGUUUCAAGGCAAACUUGCCAGUGUCUGAGCUUCUCCAAAUGAACAUACUGCUCCUAAUCAGUGGUACCCUUUUGCACAUCCUGUAGAUGAUUUUUUGGGAUUGACAUUAAACCUCUUUUCAUACCUACGCACAACGCUCUGAGUGUUGAAAUCCAUUCUAGAGCUGGACGGAAAAUUUCUGACAAUGGUUGGCUGUCAGGAAAUGCUGGUUCAGCAAGCGGAAAAGAUGUCAACUUCAACAGUAAAAAAGGAUUAGAAAAAAGCAGAAAAAAAAGAUACUAUUGAAGAUACUCUCCUAAGUCUUUUCUGAAGCAGGAUAUUUUAUUUUUCAGUGCUUUGUUUUCAUUGCUCAUUUGACACAUGAUGCAGUCAGAUCAGAGACUGCACCAUCUUUUUCCCCUGGUUUUGUUCAAUAUUUAGUGGGAUAAUAGUUUCUGCACAUA
ensembl:lncRNA